rnacentral:rRNA from 1 species
AUACGGAGGGGGCAAGCGUUGUUCGGAAUCACUGGGCGUAAAGAGCACGUAGGCGGGCCCUCAAGUCGGGUGUGAAAACUGGUGGCUCAACUGCCAGCCUGCAUUCGAUACUGAGGAUCUUGAGUACGGGAGAGGAAAGCGCAAUUCCAGGUGUAGCGGUGAAAUGCGUAGAUAUCGGGAGGAACAUCAGUGGCGAAGGCGGCCACCUGGACAUUUACUGACGCUGAGGUGCGAAAGCGUGGGGAGCAAACAGGAUUAGAAACCCCAGUAGUCC